rnacentral:rRNA from 1 species
GAUGAAUGCUGGCGGCGUGCCUAAUACAUGCAAGUCGAGCGGUAACAGGGAGUUCCACCGUUUCCUUGACACACCUAGCGCUAUAUCGUAGGUUGUUGACUUCGAGGGAACCGUGGAAUUCUGCUGACGAGCGGCGGACGGCUGAGUAACGCGUGGGAACGGACCCCAAAUUGAGGGAUAACGCACCGAAAGGUGUGCUAAUACCGCAUGUGAUCUUCGGAUUAAAGCCUUCGGGCGAUUUGGGACUGGCCUGCGUACGAUUAGAUAGUUGGUAGGGUAAUGGCCUACCAAGUCGACGAUCGUUAGAUGGUUUGAGAAGAUGAUCAUCCAGACUGGGACUAAGACACGGCCCAGACUCC